UGAAGCCUAUAAUUAGAAUGAUACAGAAUAACGACAGAAAACCUGCGCGUUAACAGCAUCGCUGCAAAAGCCUCCGCCCUGCCACGGUCUCCGACCAUCCCAGGUUUCAAGAAUUAUUGCAGAAAGCCUUCGUCUCCUUCAAUUUAUGCUCUUAAUACACAAAAUAUUUUGCUUACCAGAUCUCUUCUUCUCUCUCCAUCAGUGCAACCAUACCAAGCGAUUGCCAUCCAUCCUUACAAUCAUAUGUUCAACUAGCUUAAAGAAAGAAACAUACAUAGACCAUUAAAGGAGAAAUUAUCAUUCAACAUUGCCCUGCAAAAUCAGGCCUUGGAAAAGCUAUCCGUAUUCAACUAUACAGUCUCUCUAAAAUUGAUCCAAGUACGGAGAAAGGGAAGCUGAGUCAAGAAGUGCACCCGAAUCAUGGGAACAUAUCCACAAGAAGCCUAAUUGUAAGAGAGGUUUUCAGUAUGAAUUGACAUUCGAGGUUGACCGAGAUUUUGGAUUUCCAGGAGCUUUUGUCAUCCAGAACCAGCACAAAGACAAGUUUUUUUCUCAAUCUAUGUCUCCCCAAGUUACAUUCAGACAAAUGGUUCAUUUUGAAUGCAAUUAUUGGAUUUAUCCCAAUCAUUUAACUCAAAAAAUAAGGAUUUUUUUCUCAAACACUGUGAGUGUAAAACAUUUCUUCUAACAUGUAUUAGUAUCUUUCAACAAAAAUAUUUGCAGUGCCUUUGAUCAUCUUAUGAUGCUUGGUGUUAUCUUCCAAGCCAAACACCAAAUAGUCUGCUACAACUAAGGAAACAAGAACUUGAUACCUUGAGAGGAGAUGGAACUGCAGGGAGAAUUAGAGAAUGGCAACGAGUUUAUGACUAUGAUUUCUAUAAUGAUCUCGGUGAUCCUUAGCAAGGGGAAAGGCUUAUUUUAGGAGGUUCAGUUUCUUAUCCAUAUCCAAGGAGAGGCAAAACUGGUGAACCACAUAUUCAUUCAGUCUAGAAAUCUCUCUCCCUUCUAGUGUAACUUUCUAAUCACAGAAAUAGCACAAACAAUAAUAUUCUUCUUCCUGAACUGUUACUCUUCGAACAGAAAAUGAGAAGGGUAUGUUCAAGAUAGACAAUUGUAUCCCUCCAGAUGAAAGAUUUAGCCCCGCAAAACUGUUAGAGUUUACGACGAAAGUUAUCCAGGCCACCUUGCACUAUGUCGUUUCUCAGGGAGAAUCGGUGCUAAGAGAAGAAACCAACCAGUUCAAGUCAUUCAAUGAGAUCAAAGAGCUAUUUUCGGCAAAGAAAAUCUAAGUGGUGCAAGAAUGGAUGAUAAGGAAACUGGAAACUCAUCUACCAAAAGAGAUUUUCAAGGAGACUGAACGUGGAAUCAAAGAUUACACAGCGAAGUUUCCAAUGCCUCUAAGACAAGUUUUGUUUCAUGUCUGGAUUAUUCAUGCACAUGGAAUGAACUUGCAUGGAAGGAUGACAAGGAGUUUGGGCGCCAAAUGCUUGCAAGAAUUAAUGCAACUCUAAUUCAGUGUUUGCAGGUAAGAUAACAUGCUUUUGCUUCCUAAAGAGAAUUA